UUACUAUAGAAAGCUUAUUCCCUUUCUAUUACGGGUUUGAUAUUCUCAGUGUUAACUGGUCUUUUCGUAGAUUAGAGAUGGGAAAGAAAAAGGGGAGAAAUUCUGAGGGUGCUGGUACGUCUUCUGGUACUCAGACUGGCAAUCAAGAUAUUGGAGAGGAUGAUGAUCAAGAGCUUUUGAAAUCGUUGGGGG